GCAAGUCGAGCGGAAACGAUGAUAGCUUGCUAUCAGGCGUCGAGCGGCGGACGGGUGAGUAAUACUUAGGAAUCUACCUAGUAGUGGGGGAUAGCACGGGGAAACUCGUAUUAAUACCGCAUACGACCUACGGGAGAAAGGGGGCAGUUUACUGCUCUCGCUAUUAGAUGAGCCUAAGUCGGAUUAGCUAGAUGGUGGGGUAAAGGCCUACCAUGGCGACGAUCUGUAGCUGGUCUGAGAGGAUGAUCAGCCACACCGGGACUGAGACACGGCCCGGACUCCUACGGGAGGCAGCAGUGGGGAAUAUUGGACAAUGGGGGAAACCCUGAUCCAGCCAUGCCGCGUGUGUGAAGAAGGCCUUUUGGUUGUAAAGCACUUUAAGCAGUGAAGAAGACUCUUCGGUUAAUACCCGGAGACGAUGACAUUAGCUGCAGAAUAAGCACCGGCUAACUCUGUGCCAGCAGCCGCGGUAAUACAGAGGGUGCAAGCGUUAAUCGGAAUUACUGGGCGUAAAGGGAGCGUAGGUGGCUCGAUAAGUCAGAUGUGAAAUCCCCGGGCUCAACCUGGGAACUGCAUCUGAUACUGUUGAGCUAGAGUAUGUGAGAGGAAGGUAGAAUUCCAGGUGUAGCGGUGAAAUGCGUAGAGAUCUGGAGGAAUACCGAUGGCGAAGGCAGCCUUCUGGCAUAAUACUGACACUGAGGCUCGAAAGCGUGGGUAGCAAACAGGAUUAGAUACCCUGGUAGUCCACGCCGUAAACGAUGUCUACUAGUCGUUGGGUCCCUUGAGGACUUAGUGACGCAGCUAA
rnacentral:rRNA from 1 species